CAUCUACUCCCUCCGUUCGGAAUUACUUGUCGCAGAAAUGGAUGUAUCUAGACGUAUUUUAGUUCUAGAUACAUUCAUUUUCAAGAUAAGUAAUUCCGAACGGAGGGAGUAUAUG
rfam:Triticum aestivum genome assembly, contig: Triticum_aestivum_CS42_TGACv1_scaffold_309166_4AS